rnacentral:rRNA from 1 species
GUGGGGAAUAUUGGGCAAUGGGGGCAACCCUGACCCAGCAACGCCGCGUGAAGGAAGAAGGCUUUCGGGUUGUAAACUUCUUUGACCAGGGACGAAACAAAUGACGGUACCUGGAAAACAAGCCACGGCUAACUACGUGCCAGCAGCCGCGGUAAUACGUAGGUGGCGAGCGUUGUCCGGAUUUACUGGGUGUAAAGGGCGCGUAGGCGGGAUGGCAAGUCAGAUGUGAAAUCUGAGGGCUUAACCCUCAAACUGCAUUUGAAACUGCUGUUCUUGAGUGAUGGAGAGGCAGGCGGAAUUCCUAGUGUAGCGGUGAAAUGCGUAGAUAUUAGGAGGAACACCAGUGGCGAAGGCGGCCUGCUGGACAUUAACUGACGCUGAGGCGCGAAAGCGUGGGGAGCAAACAGGAUUAGAUACCCUAGUAGUCC